GAUGAACGCUGGCGGCGUGCCUAAUACAUGCAAGUCGAGCGAACAGAUAAGGAGCUUGCUCCUUUGACGUUAGCGGCGGACGGGUGAGUAACACGUGGGUAACCUACCUAUAAGACUGGGAUAACUUCGGGAAACCGGAGCUAAUACCGGAUAAUAUUCCGAACCGCAUGGUUCGAUAGUGAAGGAUGGUUUUGCUAUCACUUAUAGAUGGACCCGCGCCGUAUUAGCUAGUUGGUAAGGUAACGGCUUACCAAGGCAACGAUACGUAGCCGACCUGAGAGGGUGAUCGGCCACACUGGAACUGAGACACGGUCCAGACUCCUACGGGAGGCAGCAGUAGGGAAUCUUCCGCAAUGGGCGAAAGCCUGACGGAGCAACGCCGCGUGAGCGAUGAAGGUCUUCGGAUCGUAAAACUCUGUUAUUAGGGAAGAACAUACGUGUAAGUAACUGUGCACGUCUUGACGGUACCUAAUCAGAAAGCCACGGCUAACUACGUGCCAGCAGCCGCGGUAAUACGUAGGUGGCAAGCGUUAUCCGGAAUUAUUGGGCGUAAAGCGCGCGUAGGCGGUUUUUUAAGUCUGAUGUGAAAGCCCACGGCUCAACCGUGGAGGGUCAUUGGAAACUGGAAAACUUGAGUGCAGAAGAGGAAAGUGGAAUUCCAUGUGUAGCGGUGAAAUGCGCAGAGAUAUGGAGGAACACCAGUGGCGAAGGCGACUUUCUGGUCUGUAACUGACGCUGAUGUGCGAAAGCGUGGGGAUCAAACAGGAUUAGAUACCCUGGUAGUCCACGCCGUAAACGAUGAGUGCUAAGUGUUAGGGGGUUUCCGCCCCUUAGUGCUGCAGCUAACGCAUUAAACACUCCGCCUGGGGAGUACGACCGCAAGGUUGAAACUCAAAGGAAUUGACGGGGACCCGCACAAGCGGUGGAGCAUGUGGUUUAAUUCGAAGCAACGCGAAGAACCUUACCAAAUCUUGACAUCCUUUGACAACUCUAGAGAUAGAGCUUUCCCCUUCGGGGGACAAAGUGACAGGUGGUGCAUGGUUGUCGUCAGCUCGUGUCGUGAGAUGUUGGGUUAAGUCCCGCAACGAGCGCAACCCUUAAGCUUAGUUGCCAUCAUUAAGUUGGGCACUCUAAGUUGACUGCCGGUGACAAACCGGAGGAAGGUGGGGAUGACGUCAAAUCAUCAUGCCCCUUAUGAUUUGGGCUACACACGUGCUACAAUGGACAAUACAAAGGGUAGCGAAACCGCGAGGUCAAGCAAAUCCCAUAAAGUUGUUCUCAGUUCGGAUUGUAGUCUGCAACUCGACUACAUGAAGCUGGAAUCGCUAGUAAUCGUAGAUCAGCAUGCUACGGUGAAUACGUUCCCGGGUCU
rnacentral:rRNA from 1 species